CUCAUCCUUUUAUUCUUCUGCCCUUCUUAGCUGCUCAUUUGAGAGCCCCAUUUGGAGCAUGCUGGCUUGAGAAUCAACUUUCUUGCAAUCUGGUAACAACUCAAGCUGUUUUGUGUCUCUUCCUCACUGCUACCUGGACCUCUGGAUGUCUGCGACCCAGACUCAACCUGCCUGCCCGCUCUCCACCUGCUCUCCAAGGAAACCCACCUGCACCUACUUCCUCCAUAUUCUGCCACUCCACAGCCUCAAGGUUAGGCUUCCAGUAUCUGCGGGGAGGAAGACAACAACCACAUAUGUACAGGUUAACAAAAAACCGUGCUCUCUGUCAGCAGUACCACCACAUGGAGGAGAAAAACAAUCUAACAAUGAAUGAAGAGUUAGGGUUAAGUACUGUUGAUAACUAGAGGUUAGAAGCUCUCCCUCGGCCACGCCUACUCCUGAAAAAGAGAGGUCUUAGCACAUGACUGGCUGUUCCUUCUUUCUGUUUGACAAAACUGCUGACCUGAAGAAAAAUACAAACAGGAAAAGGAAUGUUCAAAAUGGUCUUGAUAAGAGAUGGUCAAACUUUGCCAAGCAAAGAUGCUUCGCUGCUUGAUUUUGUCUACUACCUCAGGCUACCCUGGACCAUCCUUUAUGAGAGAAUAUCAUCACACAAUAUGUGGC